rnacentral:lncRNA from 1 species
UGGGUGAUCAAGAUGUUGAUAGUGAUUCUGAUUCACAGAGGUCUGACUUUUAACUCCAACACCCAUUAAUGCAUUAAGAUGGAAAUUGAGUCAGCAUAGCUGCCUUGGUACCCCCAAAAGAUGCUAUAGAAGAAAGAAUUGCCGACCAAACCUCUGCAUACAGUGAUACACUGAUACAGACUUGUUGACAUUCAACAGCUGUCAUCUGCUGUCUUUGAUAUUCAUAAAUGUCGAAAAGGUAGGCUUCAUGAUUUUGUUUCUAACUUGUAAAACACUUUUGGUAAAAUUUGAAACAAUCUCUUAGUUGUAGAAUGCAGUUUUACUACAAAUUUCUGCUUGCCCAGUGGACCAAUAAAUACCACUACAUACUGUCAUCAUGUCAUGUGUGUGUACUGCCCAAAUAUUAUGCUAUUAUAUCUCACUAGAAAUUUUUCAAAACUUUCACAUAGGAAACCUGUUACUUGAAGAAGGAAGGAAACAGGGGUUUAUGUCAAGCCUGAACAUGGAAUGUGUUUCGUGUAAAAAUGUUGAGGUCUUAGAUACAUCUGAUAGUGUAAAUCGACGGAAUCCGUAUCUUUAAACUGGGAAUCGAAACCCCCCCGAAUCUUUAAACUGGGAAUCAAAACCCCACCACCACCCCCCCGAAUCUUUAAGCCUGUAUCAAACACGGACAUGGGUAAUAAAUACCAAAUAUUGAACAUUUAUUAGAGCCGCCCCAAUCGCAAGACCUUUAUUUUCAAGACGCCCCCACCUUCAUCUAGAAAACUUAGGACCCCCUCCAACAUUUAAUUCAUUACAUUUUUUUGUGUAAAAUAAGUAAUGGGACAAGUACUGGGGACCAGUAUUCCUGAAAUGGUUGUUAUUUACUCCGACUCCUAUGGUGUCAUAUACGAAAUAAACUAUGAAAACUACUAGAUUAUAGGAACUAAAAAAGGUUUAAAUAUUUUGAAAAUUUAAACAAUUAAAAUUAUGAAUUAAAAAAUUGGGGUCGUUCCUUGUCACAUAUUAGAGACCUUACGAUUUUAGGACGGCGACGGCCAAAACAAACUCCUUCAAAUAAAUGAUAGUAAAGUUAGUUCGUCGUAUAUUAUCAAUCGUAUGAAUUUAAUACAGUCUUAGAAGUUGAAGACAUGGGUUUUAUGGUUGGGAAGAGUUCUGCUAAACCCAGUUCGGCAUCACAGUUAACUGCAAAGAGCCUAUUUAAAAAUGUUUUUCUAAACUCUUCAUGUUCUUAAUUGAUAUGGACGCUUUAAUAUUAAUUACAGUAAUUACGUUCACAUUUACAGAAAGAGUAUUAAUUUGUGCAUUUGAAACAAACACGAAAACGUCAGGAAUGAGGCAAGCAAAUAAAAUGCCUUGGAUGUUAUUAUUUGGUCAUUUAAAAAAACUGGUUUACAUGUGUGUGUGGCAAGUCUACACAAUGUGUGCUUAUCUCAAAACACACGCGUUUCGAUCAAGUCUAAGUACUCUUUUCAAUGCGCUUUUGAAGAAAAAAACAAGACUUAACUAGGUCCUUUCUUAUGGCUUGUAGGUGUGAUUUCCACAAGGAUAAUUUACUGUUCAUCACACGAGUGGUAACAAUUUAAUAAUGUUUUCGGGUGAUUUUAUCUUUUACUAAAUAUCGUCGGUCGCGUCAAAACAGAAACAACAGAUGGUUAACAUAAGGUUCGUCGACUUGAGUCUUGCCCCCUGGCUUAGGUUCGGCUAUAGGGGGUCAUUUUUCUGCCAUAUUGCAAAUCAGUGACUUACUUAUCGUAAAUGUCCAGUAUGACGGACAAUGACUGGUAUUUAAGACUUUAAGUACGUUACGUAACACGCGCUCGCCGCUCAAAACUCAUGAAUAUACUUUUCCACUUGACAAUAUUAAAUUUUUUAGAUUUUUGAACGUUUCUCAAGUGGCAAAGUGGCAAACAGACUUAAAAAGUAUGUUUAGUGCUUUAUCUGUAAAUUAAUCCUAAAACGAAGAGAUUUUAGAUGGUAUGCCAAAG